AUCGCUUCUCGGCCUCUUGGCUAAGAUCAACUGUAGUAUCUGUUUUUAGCAGUUUAAUAUUUGUUUCAGUUAAAAGAGAUAUACAAAGUCACCAUACACCAAUC
rnacentral:snRNA from 1 species